rnacentral:rRNA from 1 species
UUAACUAAAGUUCCGGCGCCUCGGGAGGGGCCUGCGGGCUAUCAGCUUGUUGGUGGGGUAACGGCCUACCAAUGCUAAGACGGCUAAGGGGCGUGAGAGCGCGAGCCCCCACAAUGGAACUGAGAAACGGUCCAUACUCGCGUACGGGAGGCAGCAGUGAGGAAUAUUGCACAAUGGGGGAAACCCUGAUGCAUCAACGCCGCGUGAACGAUGAACGCCUUCGGGUUGUAAAGUUCUUUUCUGGGGGACGAUAGUGACGGUACCUCAGGAAUAAGUCCCGGUUAACUACGUGCCAGCAGCCGCGGUAAAACGUAGGGGGCGAGCGUUAUCCGGAUUUAUUGGGCGUAAAGCGCAAGUAGGCAGCGUUGUAAGUUGGACGUGAAAGCUCCCGGCUCAACUGGGAGAGGUCGUUCAAAACUACAGUGCUCGAGGUUGGAAGAGGAGAGUAGAAUUCCCGGUGUAGUGGUGGAAUGCGUAGAUAUCGGGAGGAAUACCAGUGGCGAAAGCGACUCUCUGGUCCACACCGGACGCUGAGGUGCGCAAGCGUGGGUAGCGAACGGGAUUAGAUACCCCGGUAGUCCACGCCGUAAACGAUGGAUACUAGGUGUAGGGGCUCACUGAAUCCCUCUGUGCCGUAGCAAACGCGUUAAGUAUCCCGCCUGGGGACUACGGCCGCAAGGUUAAAACUCAAAGGAAUUGACGGGGGCCCGCACAAGCAGCGGAGCGUGUGCUUUAAUUCGAUGAUACGCGAAGAACCUUACGUGGGCUGAACUACGUGGUAGUAGAGAAGCGAAAGCGGAUCGACCCUUCGGGGAGCCUCGAUAGGUGCUGCAUGGCUGUCGUCAGCUCGUGUCGUGAGAUGUUGGGUUAAGUCCCGCAACGAGCGCAACCCUUGUCGUUAGUUAUACGUGUAUAGCGAGACUGCCGGCACUCAAACCGGAGGAAGGUGGGGAUGACGUCAAGUCAGCAUGGUCUUUAUGUCCAGGGCUACACACACGCUACAAUGGCCGGUACAACAGGUUGC